GGGCGGAGCUUGCCCGGCGUUUCGCGGCGCACCCGGAGCCUGAGGAUUCCCGGGCGUUGAAGUCUGGACAGUUGCAGUUGCUGUUUCUGCCCUACUCCUCCUCUAGCUGGAAAAGGAAGAUAAUAUUCAUCUAUAAUUAAGGUGCCUGAACCCAUUACUACAAUGUGUCCUUAACACAUGAAACUAGACUCCUGAAACCCCAUCCAGAGAAUUCAUGUUGUCAAGAGUGAACUCAUAUAAACCAAGGACUUUGGAUGACAAUGGGUCAAAGUACUCCACUGAUGAUAACCACUCUGGGGCAGGAUUUUGAUAAUGGAACAAUUCAUGACAUCCGAAAUUGAGAGCAUAUGGAUGGCAUUAUCUGAAACUUGCUAGAAGUAAAAAAAAUUCAAUAAAGAAAAUGAAGAGCCUGCCGUGAAGUAGACAGAAUGCUGAAGAUUUUCACUUGUAAUUCUCAUUCAGACCUCCCAACAAACUUGCUCCCUGCUAAUGCACCUGGGAAAACAGCGGAAAAUGGCCCAAGUGCUUGGGCCCCCUGCACCCAUGUGGGAGAACUGGAAGAAGCUCCUGGCUCCUAGCAUCGACCUGAUCCAGCCCCGGCCAUUACAGCAAUUUUGGAAGUGAACCAGAAGGUAAAAGAUCUCUCUCUCAAUCUCUCUCUCACUAUGCCCCACCUCCCACCCCC